GACGAGGGAUCCUAGCGUUGUUCGGAAUCAUUGGGCGUAAAGCGGGUGUAGGUGGCUUUGUAAGUCAGGUGUGAAAGCCAGGGCUCAACCCUGGAAGUGCAUUUGAUACUGCGAAGCUUGAGUGCUGGAGAGGUAAGUAGAAUUCCUGGUGUAGUGGUGAAAUACGUAGAUAUCAGGAGGAAUACCGGAGGCGAAGGCGGCUUACUAGCCAGACACUGACACUCAGACCCGAAAGUGUGGGGAUCAAACAGG
rnacentral:rRNA from 1 species